rnacentral:rRNA from 1 species
UACCUGCGGCCCGAGUUGUGACCAUUAUUAUUGAGUCUAAAGCGUUCGUAGCUGGUUUGGAUAGUUUGUGCUUAAAUCUUUUCGUUUAACGGAAAGGCACGGUAUAAAUACUUCUAGACUAGAGGCCGGGAGGGGAGAUGGGAACUUUUCGGGUAGGAGUAAAAUCCUUUAAUCCGAAAAAGACCACCAAUAGCGAAGGCACAUCUCCAGAACGGACCUGACGGUGAGGGACGAAGGCUAGGAGAACAAACCGGAUUAGAUACCCGGGUAGCCCUAGCAGUAAACGCUGCUUACUAUACGUUGCAUUUCCUUGAGGAAAUGCAGUGUGACAGCGAAGGCGUUAAGUAAGCCACUUGGGGAGUAUAAUCGCAAGGUCGAAACUUAAAGGAAUUGGCGGGGGAGCACAAAAACGGGUGAAAUUUGCGGUUUAAUUGGAUUCAACUCCGGGAAUCCUACCAGAAGCGACAGCAAUAUGAAGGUCAGUCUGAAGAACUUACCAAAUGCGCUGAAAGGUGUUGCAUGGCCAUCAUCAGUUAGUAUCUUGAGACGUCCCGUUAAGUCGGGUAACUAACAAGACCCUCUUCUAUAUUUGCUAACAUGCAAUCCGUUGCGAAUGGGCAAAAUAUAGAGACUGCUUUCGAAAGAAAGAGGAAGGUGAGGGCGACGGUAGGUCAGUACGACCCUAAUCCUCUGGGCUACACGCGAAUUGCAAUGGUAAAGGCAAUAGGAUGCCACUCCGAAAGGAGGAGCUAAUCCCCGAAUCUUUACCCUAGUUCGAAUCGAGGUCUGUAACUCGGCCUCGUGAAGGCGGAAUCCGUAGUAACCGCGUUUCAACAAAGCGCGGUGAAUACUUUCCUGCUCCU